CUACGUAGGGGGCGAGCGUUGUCCGGAAUGAUUGGGCGUAAAGGGCGCGUAGGCGGCUGUUCAAGUCCGUAGUGGAAGUCCAUUUUUCAAGGGUGGAAGUGCUAUGGAAACUGAGCAGCUUGAGUGCAGGAGAGGUUAUCGGAAUUCCCGGUGUAGCGGUGAAAUGCGUAGAGAUCGGGAGGAACACCAGUGGCGAAGGCGGGUAACUGGACUGCAACUGACGCUGAGGCGCGAAAGUGUGGGGAGCAAACAGGAUUAGAUACCCUGGUAGUCCACACCAUAAACGAUGAAUGCUAGGUGUAGGGGGUAUCGACCCCUUCUGUGCCGCAGUAAACACAAUAAGCAUUCCGCCUGGGGAGUACGGUCGCAAGAUUAAA
rnacentral:rRNA from 1 species